GUGCGUUUGGCGCAGUGGUCAGCGUGUUCACUCCCAAACUGGGGUUCUGGAGAGCUGGCAUCCCUCACAGUAAACCCCGGGUCCCUUGGUGGCUCUUGGGAUAAAGUGAAAGGCCCCGGGUUCGAAUCCCGGAUCGCACA